UGAGGAUUUGAUCCUGGUCCAGGAUGAACGCUGGCGGCGUGGAUUAGGCAUGCAAGUCGAGCGAUCAGAUGUCGGACUUCGGACGUCAGAUUUCAGCUAUCUGAUCUCUGAUAUCUGGUGUCCGAUAUCUGGUAGCGGCGAACGAGAUAGGAACGCCUUGGUACCUUCCCCAGAGUUUGGCAUAGCUCGUCGAAAGACGGGGUAAUUCCAAAUAGUCUCCGCUUUCGCUUUUUGUUUCACAAAAAGCUUCAGCGUGACGAGUCGCAAGAUUUUGUCACGCCGCAGCUCUGUGGAACACGGAGCGAAGGCGGAGUAAAGGCGCAAGUCGCUUUGGGAUGGGCCUAGGUCUGAUCAGCUAGUUGGUAGGGUAAUGGCCUACCAAGGCUAUGACCAGUAGGGGAGCUGAGAGGCUGUUCCCCAUCGGGGGCACUGAGACACGGGCCCCACUCCUACGGGAGGCAGCAGUCGAGAAUAUUCCACAAUGGGCGAAAGCCUGAUGGAGCGACGCCGCGUAGAGGAAGAAGUAUUUCGGUAUGUAAACUCUUUUUCAUGGAGAGGAACUUCGGUGACAGUACCCAUGGAAUAAGGAGCUGCUAACUUCGUGCCAGCAGCAGCGGUAACACGAAGGCUCCGAGCGUUAUCCGGAUUUAUUGGGCGUAAAGCGCGCGUAGGCGCUUGUCGCAGAUUUUCUGCGUCCCGAAAGUGAUUUAUCACUUAAGGGAUCAAGUUUGGCGUUCAAUCUCGUGGCUCAACUGCGAGACCGCGUCGAAUACUGGGCAGGUAGAGGUAAAGAGGGGCUGACGGAACGCACGGUGUAGGGGUGAAAUCCGUUGAUAUCGUGCGGAACACCAAAAGCGAAGGCAGUCAGCUAGCUUUAUUCUGACGCUGUUGCGCGAAAGCGUGGGGAGCGAACAGGAUUAGAUACCCUGGUAGUCCACGCCCUAAACAAUGUUGACUAGCCAUUGGAAGCAUCGACCCUUUCAGUGGCGAAGCUAACGCAUUAAGUCAACCGCCUGGGAAGUACGGCCGCAAGGCUAAAACUCAAAGGAAUAGACGGGGACUCGCACAAGCGGUGGACCAUGGGGUUUAAUUCGAUGGUAAGCGAGGCACCUCACCAGGGCUUGAAAUGCUAUCUUUAUGCUCCUUCCGAAAGGUUGGGGUUCCUUCGGGACGGAUAGCACAGGUGUUGCAUGGUUGUCUUCAGCUCGUGCCGUGAGGCGUUCCCUUCAGUGGGGUAACGAGCGUAACCCUUGUUUUGUGUU
rnacentral:rRNA from 1 species